GGCGGUUCUCGGGUGACACACCCGGAAUCGGGCUCCCUCCUCUCUAGUUCCCAGUGCGUCACCCAAGAACCGCA
rfam:Myotis davidii contig79385, whole genome shotgun sequence.